rnacentral:rRNA from 1 species
UACGUAGGGUCCGAGCGUUGUCCGGAAUUACUGGGCGUAAAGAGCUCGUAGGCGGUUUGUUGCGUCGGCUGUGAAAUCCCGAGGCUCAACCUCGGGUCUGCAGUCGAUACGAGCAAACUAGAGUGUUGCAGGGGAGACUGGAAUUCCUGGUGUAGCGGUGAAAUGCGCAGAUAUCAGGAGGAACACCGGUGGCGAAGGCGGGUCUCUGGGCCGAAACUGACGCUGGAGGAGCGAAAGCGUGGGGAGCAAACAGG